rnacentral:rRNA from 1 species
CCCUAUGGGGCGCAGCAGGCAUUGCGGGAACAGGCUCCAGCCUUUCAUGUUGCGGAUCGGGUCAUGACCGAAGUUCAAUCCGCCCCGGCGGAGGAUAUCAUUGUCCUGGGCUGGUUUGGAGGGCUGUCCGUCCUUGCCGCCUCCAUCGUUCUUGUUAUCAGCCUCCAGUCCUGGCAGGUAUUGGCACAUCCGCUAUUCCAGAUGAUGAUUCCAUUACAGGAUAUUAACUUAUGGUAGAUCAAGUCAAUCCGAUAACCCCGGUGACUCAUUCGCUGCAUCGCAAGAAAACGGUGCGUCAAAUUCUGCUUGCGGUCGUAAUCUUCGUGUCCGGCAUUGUCAUCGGAGCGGGAGAGC